rnacentral:rRNA from 1 species
UGCGCAGGCGGUUAUGUAAGACAGGUGUGAAAUCCCCGGGCUUAACCUGGGAAUGGCAUUUGUGACUGCAUAGCUAGAGUGUGUCAGAGGGGGGUAGAAUUCCACGUGUAGCAGUGAAAUGCGUAGAGAUGUGGAGGAAUACCGAUGGCGAAGGCAGCCCCCUGGGAUAACACUGACGCUCAUGCACGAAAGCGUGGGGAGCAAACAGGAUUAGAUACCCUGGUAGUCCACGCCCUAAACGAUGUCUACUAGUUGUCGGGUCUUAAUUGACUUGGUAACGCAGCUAACGCGUGAAGUAGACCGACCUGGGGAUACGGUCGCAAGAUUAAAA